UACGAAGGGGGCUAGCGUUGCUCGGAUUGACUGGGCGUAAAGGGCGCGUAGGCGGUUUGUACAGUCAGACGUGAAAUUCCCGGGCUCAACCUGGGGGCUGCGUUUGAUACGUGCGGACUUGAGUUCGGAAGAGGGUCGUGGAAUUCCCAGUGUAGAGGUGAAAUCCGUAGAUAUUGGGAAGAACACCGGUGGCGAAGGCGGCGACCUGGUCCGAUACUGACGCUGAGGCGCGAAAGCGUGGGGAGCAAACAGG
rnacentral:rRNA from 1 species